GUGGGACAGUGGCGAACGGGUGAGUAACACGUGAGCAACCUGCCCCUGACUCUGGGAUAAGCGCUGGAAACGGCGUCUAAUACUGGAUACGAGCAACGGCCGCAUGGCCAGUUGUUGGAAAGAUUUUUUGGUUGGGGAUGGGCUCGCGGCCUAUCAGCUUGUUGGUGAGGUAAUGGCUCACCAAGGCGUCGACGGGUAGCCGGCCUGAGAGGGUGACCGGCCACACUGGGACUGAGACACGGCCCAGACUCCUACGGGAGGCAGCAGUGGGGAAUAUUGCACAAUGGGCGGAAGCCUGAUGCAGCAACGCCGCGUGAGGGAUGACGGCCUUCGGGUUGUAAACCUCUUUUAGCAGGGAAGAAGCGAAAGUGACGGUACCUGCAGAAAAAGCGCCGGCUAACUACGUGCCAGCAGCCGCGGUAAUACGUAGGGCGCAAGCGUUAUCCGGAAUUAUUGGGCGUAAAGAGCUCGUAGGCGGUUUGUCGCGUCUGCUGUGAAAUCCCGAGGCUCAACCUCGGGCCUGCAGUGGGUACGGGCAGACUAGAGUGCGGUAGGGGAGAUUGGAAUUCCUGGUGUAGCGGUGGAAUGCGCAGAUAUCAGGAGGAACACCGAUGGCGAAGGCAGAUCUC
rnacentral:rRNA from 1 species